UUGCAUUAGGGAUUGCAGCGGCAUCCUCUUUUUUUUAGGGUUUAAAGUGGUUCAAUUCGCUUUUGGUUUUAGUAACUAAAUACUUGAACUGAAACACACAACCCUAAAAAAAGAGAUAUAGCGGAAAGCCCGACCUGAA
rnacentral:sRNA from 1 species